UUAGAAUAUAAAAUAAUUAUUUUUUAUCCAUAUUUUGUGCUUUUUUGGUAUACAGCUUUAUUUAUUAUUUAACAAUGGUUAAAGUGUGUGGUGCGAAGUUGAUUGAAUAGCUGAUGGAAAAAUAAAGAGCAAAGGAUAUACUUUUUCCAACCUACGACAAGAAUUAGAUUACAGUGAUGGUCAAAAGCAUUAGAUAUUGCUUUGAAACCUACAGACAAGGCAAGACAAGGUAUGGUUUCAUUUUAAAGAACAAGAUGUUAAAGUUUAUGAUAAAAUUGUCAUCAGGUACUGUUCACUUACAGUAUUUACUUACAUAGGAAAAUAUAGGAGGAUGAAGCUCUACCUCCUACCUUAGGUUAAUUUAUAUUCUGAGUUGCAAUGACAGCAACAAGCAAGAAGGGAACCAUUAAAUGAAUAUUAUACACAUAAGUAUUAUUAUACACAGAAAGAGAUACACAUAAAUAUCAACAUUUUGUAGAGCAACAACAGAAUAAAAGACCAAAAUGUGAACACCAGCAACUAAAGCUUGAUUUUCAUGGAUCCGUUGUCCGACGAUACAUUGAUACGAUAUUAAUUUCAUUGGU